CCCUACGGGGGGCAGCAGUAGGGAAUAUUGCUCAAUGGGGGAAACCCUGAAGCAGCAACGCCGCGUGGAGGAUGAAGGUUUUCGGAUUGUAAACUCCUUUUGUUAGAGAAGAUAAUGACGGGAGCGAACGAAUAAGCACCGGCUAACUCCGUGCCAGCAGCCGCGGUGCUACGGAGGGUGCAGGGGUUACUCGGAAUCACUGGGCGUAAAGAGCGCGUAGGGUGGUUAGCAAGUCCGCGGUUUACUCCUCUGGCUUACACAUAGGACUGCAUUUGAAACUGUUAUUCUCUAGUAUGGGAGGGGUGGGUGGAAUUCUUGGUGUAGGGGUAAAAUCCGUAGAGAUCAAGAGGAAUACUCAUUGCGAAGGCGACCUGCUAGAACAUAACUGACGCUGCUGCGCGAAAGCGUGGGGAGCAAACAGGAUUAGAUACCCUAGUAGUC
rnacentral:rRNA from 1 species